GAUGAACGCUGGCGGCGUGCCUAAUACAUGCAAGUCGAGCGAACAGAUGAGGAGCUUGCUCCUCUGACGUUAGCGGCGGACGGGUGAGUAACACGUGGAUAACCUACCUAUAAGACUGGGAUAACUUCGGGAAACCGGAGCUAAUACCGGAUAAUAUAUUGAACCGCAUGGUUCAAUAGUGAAAGACGGUUUUGCUGUCACUUAUAGAUGGAUCCGCGCCGCAUUAGCUAGUUGGUAAGGUAACGGCUUACCGAGGCAACGAUGCGUAGCCGACCUGAGAGGGUGAUCGGCCACACUGGAACUGAGACACGGUCCAGACUCCUACGGGAGGCAGCAGUAGGGAAUCUUCCGCAAAGGGCGAAAGCCUGACGGAGCAACGCCGCGUGAGUGAUGAAGGUCUUCGGAUCGUAAAACUCUGUUAUUAGGGAAGAACAAAUGUGUAAGUAACUAUGCACGUCUUGACGGUACCUAAUCAGAAAGCCACGGCUAACUACGUG
rnacentral:rRNA from 1 species